rnacentral:lncRNA from 1 species
GGCCCCGGUCGGCGUCUGGUAAGUCUGUCCGUCCUCCCUUACACACCCACUGCGGGGUCACCAGGAACGCGCCCAGGAACCGACCGGCUGAGAGCGCCGGCCCCGCGGGCUCGGCCUUUUAUGCAAGGAGGGUGGGGCGGCCCGCGCAGGCCGCGCCCCUAGCCCGAGCCCCCCAGUCCCCUUCGCGCUAGCUCUCUCCAGGACCCGCUGACGUAAUGCUCCGAGGCCCAGGGACCGGCCCAGGGGCUGGACCAUGGGCCCGCGGCCAAUCAGCACAGCUUUGCGGACCCGGAGAGGAGAGGGGGCUCCCGGGAGUAGGGUGGGGGCGUGCCCAUUGUCUAAGACUGCGGGGAGGUAGAAAAAGUUGGGACUGAGAAUUGGGGGUGGGUAAAGGAACCGUGGGCGGGAGGGUGGCUAGGCGAUGGCGACCAGUAUGGCAGGUCAGGUAUGGGGGGAGGGCUGGCACUGGAUGGGGUGGGCAGGAGGACUGGAGCAGGUGGGGAGGCCGUCAGGAACGCGGGGAAGGAGCGUGCUGUGUUCCGGGCUCUGGCAGGUGGAAGGGUUGAAGCGGCGCACGCUGCGCUGCCAUCGCGCAUUGCGGCGCCUCCUCUGCCAAGGGCCAGAGAUCCCUAAGCCACCCGCCCCUGGUGAGACCACUGCCCUUUUCCCAACCCCAGAGGCCGACAACUGUCCGCGCCGGCUCGCCCCUCACACAGAGGCUCGGGAGAGGACAGGUGGUCGCAGGAGGAAGUCGUGCGUGAUCAGAAUGUUGGGGUCUGGAGAGUCGAGACCCUGGAUACCCAAGGCCCAAGAGCCCCAGGGUGUCCUGUGCCCCGCCCCCAGCAUCCGCCUGUUCUCUCUUUUGUCUCUGCUGCAGCAUCCAGGGAUGAGGCGACCUCCGCGCCCCCUCCGGUCCUGCCCGACCCUCUCCAAGAGUCCACAGCUCCCCGGCUGGGUCCGGGCCCCGAGGCGGCUACGAGGUCCUCAACCUCGUGCUGCUGAUGGGAGUGAGGGACACGCCUAA